AUGACAGGGUUUCUUGACACGGUAGUUGGCGCAGCAAUAGGAUGGCUGGUGCAAAGCAUCCUUGGGACCUUCUUCACUGAACAGAUUGAAGACUGGAGUCGUGAAAUUGGACUUGCUGAAGAUGUGGAGAAGCUCAAAUUUGAGAUGAGAAAUGUGGAGAUGGUUCUUGCUGCUGCCGAGGGAAGGAGGAUUGAAAACAAGCCUCUGGCACAUUCACUGGAUUUUCUCAGAGAGCUGCUUUAUGACUCGGAAGAUGUGAUGGACGAGCUCAAUUACUACCGACUCCAGCAACUGAUCGAAGAAGGUGCUUCACUCGUCUCUCUUGUUCCAUCUUUCUUGCUUUCAGCUUUUAUAUUUUUUUUGGCAAGUGCUUUCAGCUUUUAUAAUGGUGUUGGUUGUAAUUGUUACUUGGCCUACAGUUUACUACCUACGUUCUAA
rnacentral:rRNA from 1 species